rnacentral:rRNA from 1 species
GAUGAACGCUGGCGGCGUGCCUAAUACAUGCAAGUCGAGCGAAAAGACGAGGAGCUUGCUCCUCUGACGUUAGCGGCGGACGGGUGAGUAACACGUGGAUAACCUACCUAUAAGACUGGGAUAACUUCGGGAAACCGGAGCUAAUACCGGAUAAUAUCUUGAACCGCAUGGUUCAAUAGUGAAAGACGGUUUUGCUGUCACUUAUCGAUGGAUCCGCGCCGCAUUAGCUAGUUGGUAAUGUAACGGCUUACCAAGGCAACGAUGCGUAGCCGGCCUGGGAGGGUGGUCGGCCACACUGGAACUGAGACCUGGUCCAGACUCCUACGGGAGGCAGCAGUAGGGGAUCGUCCGCAGUGGGCGAAAGCGUGACGGAGCAGCGCCGCGGGAGUGAUGAAGGUCUGCGGAUCGUAAAACUCUGUUGGUAGGGAAGAACAAAUGUGUAAGUAACUAUGCACGUCUUGACGGUACCUAAUCAGAAAGCCACGGCUAACUACGUG